GUCAAUUCGCGCCACGUAUGCCAAAAUUUUGGAAUUGUACAGUUACUAUGAAGUAUUACAUAUAACCAAAACUGGUGUUGCUACAAGUUUUUCAACAACCCAAGAAAAAUCUUGGUGAAAACAGUAAAUUCCAGUAGUAAACAAAAUUAUAAAUAACUUAUGGUCUGAUUAAACGCUAGGAAACAAUGACAAAUUGGUCACCCCAACAUGCGAAUUAUGAAUAUUGUCAUAUACCUUUGCCCCUACCAUUCACUGAUUUAAAACAGGAAACAUGCCCUUCAGUUGAGCUUCACAAUCAGGUUCCAGAGCCUUAAGAAACAAGGCCCUCAGUUCAACAUCUGUUAAGACCUGAAUCACUUUUCCAAAAAACUUACGAACAUCAGCUCGUCGUGAUGCCUUAUCCGGCAUAUUUUUCAACAACACAUUAACAAGACACCCUGACUUGGCAAGAUGGCUGCCUAACUCGGCAAAAUGGCUGUUGUCAUCAGGGUUUGAAGAAACAAACGAUUUUAACAUCUCGAUGACCAGUUCAAGAGCUUCAAUUUGACGAAACUGUAGCUUUGCACUAGCACAUUUCUCCAAAAGGAACCCAAAUAGAGGAUAUCCAAUCCGUGGUCGCCUUUUAAAGACUUCUUUUAGAAACUCGCACUUCAUUCGAGUACUUUUACUAUCUAAGUAACCCUCCAGUUUUUCUCUGAAUAUACAAGAAACCUCCUCAAGUUCAGAUUUUGGACGUUUUUUCGUAUCAAUAAUCUUCAAAAUCCAAAAUAUUGAACUCUGGGCAAGAGAAUUGAUCAUUUUGAAUCUAUUCAAGGCAGCAGACAGCUUUUUCUUUGACAAACUAGAGGCAGAUUUCUUUUUCUUGAAAUGUUUUGCUGCCAGUACCAAGUUCCUUUCCAAGAGAGACUUAAGAACUGGGAAUUCGAUGACUUCACCUUUUGGAUAGUCCUUUGCCUUGAAGAUUUUCUUCUGUAAAAUUCCCCAAAUUCGCUGGCCAAGUUGUUCGUUACCUUCCGUAGUGUGAGGGUUUACAAAUGCAUGAGCUAGGCUUGAGAAUAUUUUCACUACUUUUGGCUUCUCUGGAUUUUCGUGUAGGUAAAUCUCCAGCAACGAGAGGACACGAAGUUUGAAGAGGGCAAGCUGUGAAUGAGCAGUUUCACUACCAGCCUGGUUCUUCUUAGCGUUGUACAUUUUAGCAAGAUGUGUGUCCAGGCGGAACAUUGCAUCAUCAUCUAAUCCCUCAUCAGAAUCAUCAUCAGAAGCUACAGGAAGUUCUGAGGUAACACCCUCAACACCAACUACUGUCUCUGAGUCAUCCACAUGUGCAUGCCUCUCCGCAGUUUCAUCCAUCUCUGCUUCAUCAGAUUCCUCAGCCUCUUCAAUGUCAAGAACGUCGUCAUCAUCGUCAUCUUCAUUCUCACUGUCAGUUUCUUGGUGUCUGGCUGGUUUGAGAUCUUUCUUUAUAACCCGCAACAUUCGAUGUAACCCAUCAUCCGUAACAUCUUCACAAAAACAUUUGAAAACCUGCUCAAUAGCUGUCCGCAUCGGUGCUGAUGAUUGUGGCAGCAACGAAAGCAUAGUGUCCACUAGAACAUCCAUGAAUUCAGGACUAUCAUCUCCCUCUGCUUCAUCAUCUCCAGAGGAAGCAAGAAGAUCAGAAGAUCGAAAAGCUUUGGUACAGCAAAUAACCAAUUCAGAGGCGGCUUCAGAAAAUUCUUGAGGGCGAAGUAGGACUUGAAGCAACAAUUGUAUCAGAAGGUACCUCAUGGAAUGUAACUUAUUUUUGGCAAUACCUGGACCCAAGCUUCUCUCCUGUCUUGAGAGCUGAGACUCCAUAGCCUGCAAUUUCUUGAUAGCUUUUUCAUCAUCGUCGCCCAAGGAUCUAAACAGCGAAACAGAAGGAAUGUUUCGCAAUGUGGUAAGAAAUCUCAUGAAAUAAGCUCCAAGAUCAUUAGCUUCAAGACCACUAGGCACAACUUGAGGUCCUUCGCCUUUUUGAGCAUUGGAUAGCAGUAACUGCAGCUGCUCAAUGCACAUCCUACAAAGAGCACUUGAAAUGGCAGACUUUGGCCACCUAAAUUUUUCUUCCAAUUCAAAAGAUGUCACCUCAGUUCCAAGUGUCGAAGAAAAUAGACCCUGCACUGCCAAAAAUUUUAGAAUUUCUCUUUGGACCCUGAACCUUGCAUUUGUAUCCAGAGAUAAAUGCUUCAAGCUAUUUGGAAGUGACUCUACAACCCAUCCUUUCAAAAAAUCGGGCGUUCCUACUGUUCCAACAGAAUCCUUAUCUUCUAAGGAACCAAUUUCUGAGUUGUCAUCUGUAGUUUGACUCUGAUCUGAAGUCUCCUCUGAAGCACGAGCUUCAUCCAGGAACAUGUCAACUAAGUUCUGAAUGAGAAGCAUGCAUCCAGACUCAGUUUUAAACUCAGCCAUCAACUCUUUAACUGUUUUUGACCUGGUGAAGCAAUCAAACUUCCCAUUACUAUGUUUCUGUAAAGCCAUAAUAACUGCCACUCUUCUAACAUCAUCAUGCUUGACCCACUCAGAAAAUUCUCUUAAAAAGUAUUGACUGGCUUUGAAUAGAUUAGUGUCUUUCGCAGAAAGUAUGUCCUUUAAGCACUGGACAACUUUGUAAGACAGGACGUUGUAGAUGCACGAUGUGGGCAAUUUUGGAAGGAGAAGCAGCAAAACAUUGAACGCCAAAUUCUUGCAAUUAUGAGAUGAUGGAAGAAGUGAUCCUUCAAUGAUAACUUCACAAAAGUUUUUAAGAUUUUUCUCAAUAUCUUCUUCAGCUGAGCUACCCUUGCGGCCUUUUUUGUGCUUCCUUGUGGAAUUUAAAGCUGCUGAGGGAUCAAAAUCUUGUUGAACAUUUUCAGGUAAAAGAAUAUUUACCAAGGAAUACCAUACACUAUGAGUUCGUGGCAAGCAGAAGUGGGAUUCCUUCAAGCAAUUGGAAAGCAAGGACAAAUGUUCCACACUGAAAAGCCGGCUGGGGCUAUAAGGAAAAGGCAGAAGCUUGCCAAAAUCUUUGUUAUCAACACCAGUUUUUUCACGUAUGGCAAGGGCAAGAAGCAAAGCAUCAGGAUUUCCAACUUCCGUUGCACUUUCAAACCACUCUUUAAGCCCAGGAGCUUCAAGAACAUGGUUCAAUGAAACUUCAACAGGUAACUUGUCAACCAAUUCCAAAAUAAUUGAGACAGCAGGCUCUUGUAAGUAGAGCUUCUUUUUUGCCAGCCAGACAAGAGAACCAACAAAUUCUUUAAUAUAAGGAGUGUUCUUAUCAGCAGUCCACUCCAAAGUUAAUCUCCCUGAUCUUGCAAUAGAUCCGUAAGCAAAUAAGCGUCCCAAUAGGCAAUCUUUCAUGUCCUGACCCUUCAUGGAAGAAGAGAUCUCCAAUAAUUCAACAAUAAGCUUCAACAGGGCAUCCACUUUUAUGCAUGGAACAGCACCAACCAACACUGUCAUGCCUAAUGCAAACCCUUGCCUUGCACACUCUCUUGAUGAAGAAAUGCCCCGAAUUAGCCUCCGAACUGCAUAUCUCAACGAAGGGGCACAGUUGUUCAACCCAUCAUCCUUUUCAGCUUCCAA
rnacentral:misc_RNA from 1 species